AACCUGGUUGAUCCUGCCAGUAGUCAUAUGCUUGUCUCAAAGAUUAAGCCAUGCAUGUCUAAGUACAAUCCUCUUGAGGGAGAAACUGCGAAAGGCUCAUUAAAUCACACCUAACGAUGAGUAACGGGGAAUUAGGGUUCGAUUCCGGAGAGGGAGCCUGAGAAACGGCUACCACUUCUAAGGAAGGCAGCAGGCACGCAAAUUACCUACUGGCCAAAGGUCGAGGUAGUGACGAAAAAUAACGAUACCAGACUCAUCCGAGGCCUGGUAAUCGAGGAACCAUUGGAGGGCAAGUCUGGUGCCAGCAGCCGCGGUAAUUCCAGCUCCAAUAGUUUAUAUUCAAGUUGCUGUGGUUAAAAAGCUCGUAGUUGGAACCUGGCAUGCAGGGGGCGGUCCAUUAUUUGAUGCGACUGCCCCAUUUGCGUGUUUGUGGGGGCGGAAUUCCUUGGGUGCUCUUCACCGAGUGUCCUUGGAAGCCGCCAGGUUUACUUUGAAAAAAUUAGAGUGCUCCAAGCAGGCUCUACACGCCUGUUAUUCGUGCAUGGAAUAAUGGAAUAGGACGUCGUUCCUGUUUCGUUGGUUUUAGGGAUUCGACGUAAUGAUUAAUAGGGACAGCCGGGGGCAUUAGUAUGCAGACGACAGAGGUGAAAUUCUUGGACCGUCUGCCGACUAACUACUGCGAAAGCAUUUGCCAAGAGUGUUUUCAUUAAUCAAGAGCGAAAGUUAGAGGUUCGAAGGCGAUCAGAUACCGCCCUAGUUCUAACCAUAAACGAUGCCAGCUAGCGAUCUGCAGGCGGUUUUUUGUAGGCCCUGCAGGAAGCUUCCGGGAAACCAAUGCGUUUGGGUUCCAGGGGAAGUACGGUUGCAAAGCUGAAACUUAAAGGAAUUGACGGAAGGGUACCACCAGGUGUAAGCCAGGAAUGCCCAGUAAGCGCAAGUCAUAAGCUUGCGUUGAUUACGUCCCUGCCCUUUGUACACACCGCCCGUCGCUACUACCGAUUGAACGUUUUAGUGAGGUAUUUGGACUGGGCCUCUGGUGGUUAACGCCUCCAGUGUUGCCCGGGAAGACUCCCAAACUUGAGCGUUUAGAGGAAGUGAAAGUCGUACCAAGGUUACUGUAGGUGAACCUGCAGAAGGAUCA
rnacentral:rRNA from 1 species